rnacentral:misc_RNA from 1 species
UGUCAUGUAAUCUCAACCCCUCAGGUUUCUGGCCUGGGGUGGUUGGACUUGGGUGCUGCCGCUCGGCUCACCUUAAAAGCGUCAGUGGGAUAAGCACCGGUUGGACGUAAUAAGUUUCGUCAAGCCUGGUGUGAUGCCUGCUCACAACCCCCAUCUUUUAACUUGACCUCAAAUCAGGUAGGACUACCCGCUGAACUUAA